GACGAACGCUGGCGGCGUGCUUAAUACAUGCAAGUCAACUUGACUUUAGAUAGCAAUAUCGAAAGUAGGGUGGCGCACGGGUGCGUAACGCGUAGGUAAUCUGCCCUGAGGUCUGACAUAACCCGUCGAAAGGCGGGCUAACAUCAGAUGAUAUAUAGUCACGACAUCGUGGAAAUAUCAAAUCUUCGGAGCCUUGGGAUGAGCCUGCGUCUGAUUAGGUAGUUGGCGGAGUAAUAGCCCACCAAGCCUACGAUCAGUAGCUGGUCUGAGAGGAUGAUCAGCCACACUGGAACUGAGACACGGUCCAGACUCCUACGGGAGGCAGCAGUAAGGAAUAUUGCUCAAUGGGGGAAACCCUGAAGCAGCAACACCGCGUGAAGGAUGAAAUACUUUUGUAUGUAAACUUCUGUAAGAUGGGAAAAAUAUUCUCCUCGGGAGAAUUGAUUGUACCAUCAGAGUAAGCCCCGGCUAACUACGUGCCAGCAC
rnacentral:rRNA from 1 species